rnacentral:lncRNA from 1 species
UUUUCCCCACCUUACUUUCCCCUUUCACAGGUUCACACAUCUACCUUCUCCCUCAUCUUCUCUCACACCUCCGGUCGCCGGAGGAGGGAUUCCGGCGCCGGUAUACCCGGCCAGGCGACACGCACACACCCCCAACACUCUUCUCCUUCCUAUGACACCCCCACCCCCUUCGUUUUCUCUCUCUCGCACACUAUUUUCGACUGGAGAGCGGACGGUGCUCCGACAACGGCGUACCAGCGAUGGUGGAUUUGACGGAGGUUCAGUGGCGAACACUCUUCAAAUUGACCCUUCUGACCUACUUCCGGUGCCUGCUUUCCGCUUGGAUCAAUGGGGGUGUAUUCUUUUUUACGCUGAUGGUCGUGGUUCACAGGAGCCUCACUCCGGUGGUGACUGACGAACGACGACGGCGGUGCUAAAUCCUCUGGAAUCAAUCACGGCAGCCAUGAUCUUCGAGCUUUCUCACCCUGUUCUGCUUUUACUUUGUUGUCUCUUUCGUCAGACUAGGAUUACAAAGAUCCUAAAGGUGUUGACAGGCAACAUCACACGAUGUGGUCUCUGAUUGUUGAGGCUCGACUUUGGUCCUGGCAUCAUGAUCCUUAAAAAAACCAAAAAGAUAGCCGCACCAGCCUGUUCAACUCUCCAAGGCAAGUCAUUUAACUUUGUAAUGGACCAGGCUCGGAACAUGCUUCAAAACAGGAAAUCAGCUGGGUCAACCCACUACAACUUUCAGCACUUUAUAUUUAGUACAUCAACUAUCCCAAUGUAACACAGAUAACCUCCUGGUAACAUAAAACCUUACCCGCCGCGAAGCGCGGGCGUUAUCUACUAGUUUCAUAUUAUAAUACAUUUCAUGACAAUUUUGGGGCCGCUAACAAGGCUAAGGCUGUGGCCGAUGAAGCGAUAGCAGAAUGUAGAGAAAGAUGAUGGUAAGAGCGAGAGACAAUUAACUUAGUGUGAGAAUGGGAGGCAAUGAAGCAAACAAUAAGCAAACUGUCUGGGUCAAAGAUUGUCUCUUAGCGGCUUAG